GUGAAAGGUGCGGUUGCUACAAGGGUUCCGUGAUGUGUGCGAUGAUGAGUUGCAUGCACUGUUUUGGCCCCACACUUCCUGCUCAACCUGGUCAAUGCUGCCCAACAUGCGCUCCAGAACCUGAACAUGAGCCAGAGACUGGAUGUGUUGUCAACGGUGUGACAUUCAAGGAAGGUGCCCCUAUGCCCUCAAUGACAGGUAGCCCUUGCGAGAUAUGCC